rnacentral:rRNA from 1 species
UGGUGCAUGGCCGUUCUUAGUUGGUGGGUUGCCUUGUCAGGUUGAUUCCGGUAACGAACGAGACCUCAGCCUGCUAAAUAGUCACGGUCGCUCCUUGUGGCCGGCUGCACUUCUUAGAGGGACUAUUAGCGUCUAGCUAAUGGAAGUAUGAGGCAAUAACAGGUCUGUGAUG